UGUCUCUUCCUCACUCUCUCUCUCUCUCUCUCUGUCUCUCUCUGACUCUCUUCCUGCGCUGCCUCCAUCCGGCACAAUUACCCAUGGCUAAUUUCACAUCUGUCCUGAAUAGUAAAAUGUCACUGGAUAUACAAACGCCCCACGUGCUUCACUUCUGAAAGAAGCAUUCUCCCUCCAGUGAUCACACGAGAUGCUCCACUCGCCUGCUGUUUAUGUUGUUUGCCUCCCAACAGAAAGCAGUGAUUAUUUUCUGGCUGCCUCUCAUAUUCUGAGCCCUGUAAUUUUCAUCACUCAGCGCUGCACUUCAUUCAAAUGAUGAUCCACUUAAUGUUUGGAAAUCCAAAUGAAUGAUAGCUUAACCUCAAUCCUUGAAUUAAAAAAUGAGUUUUUUUUACUCCAUUUUCUUUAUGGAGAUAUUUAAAGGGUGGUGCCGCGGUUAUUAAUAGAUCAAGUAUUCUUUGCAAAAAAUGUCUUUUUAAUUCGCAGAAAUGGAAAAUCCCCAGAGAUGAAUUAAGAUGCAGAAAUAUUACCAAGCCUGCGUGGCAGUGGGAAGAUCUGGUCCAAGUCCAACUGAAGACUGAGAAGUGGAGACAAGGCACUGAUGGACACUCACUGAUUCACGGACACAUGUUGACGGACAAACAGAUGAUCAAAGACACCUUUUACACUCUGCACAAUAAAACCAGGAAGCUUCAUGGGAACCUUUUUUCUCUCCUCUUGUCACCAAGUGUCACCACGACGGAUUUAGAAACACACACCGGCUGAUGGAAGAUGACAGGUGUGACAUCCACUGUGCUGUUUCUAAUAGCCUAAUUGGCUAGUGCAAACACACACAUAUACACAUAUACACACACACACACACACUUGUAACACAUGAUAAAACGACAGAAUGCUGCAGGAGUCCGUUGCCUUUGACCAGAAACAGGAUCAGUGUAUGUGCGUAUUGGUUUAAUAAUGUUCCUUUUUGAUUUAGAUUCAUUCUAUGUUGUUCUGUAAUUUUUUUUCUUUCUUCUCUCUGUAUAAAAUCAGAAUAUAAAUUGUUUGGGAAAUAAAGCGAAGCCGUGUACUUAC